rnacentral:rRNA from 1 species
CCUACGGGUGGCUGCAGUGAGGAAUAUUGGUCAAUGGGCGUGAGCCUGAACCAGCCAAGUCGCGUGAGGGAGGACGGCCCUACGGGUUGUAAACCUCUUUUGCCGGGGAGCAACGGGCGCCACGUGUGGCGUCACUGAGAGUACCCGGAGAAAAAGCAUCGGCUAACUCCGUGCCAGCAGCCGCGGUAAUACGGAGGAUGCGAGCGUUAUCCGGAUUUAUUGGGUUUAAAGGGUGCGUAGGCGGAACGUUAAGUCAGCGGUCAAAUUGAGGGGCUCAACCCCUCCCCGCCGUUGAAACUGGCGUUCUUGAGUGGGAGAGAAGUAUGCGGAAGGCGUGGUGUAGCGGUGAAAUGCAUAGAUAUCACGCAGAACCCCGAUUGCGAAGGCAGCAUGCCGGCUUCCGACUGACGCUGAAGCACGAAAGCGUGGGGAUCGAACAGGAUUAGAUACCCGGGUAGUC